GGACCCUAUAUGUACUGUUGAUGAAGUUAGGUGCUGUUCUGAGCAUUAUUUGUGUCUAUAGAGUGGUGUUUUGGUUGAGGUUUGUUUAUGGUUCCUCAGACCACUGUGUAUUGCUAUUCUGCGGUCGUUAUUAUAGUUGGGAUAACGAGAGAAGCAAGCGGUCAGCAACAUUCAUCUAUCAAGGGGGUGUCUAACUCGAUGUUACGCUGUGUUUGACCCUAAAUGAAUUUUACGCCGGACUAUCCCUUUAAUAUUUUCUCAAAACUUUCACCAGAACCAGGCGUCCUUCAGUUUCAGAUUUUUUUAGGUCCGUUGUUGUUUUGUUUUUUAUGAUGAUUGCCUGUCAGGUAGGCGUCUGACAGUGUUUUGAAAGUUUUCGCAUUAAGCAUGGGUCGUUUGUUUUUCAUCAAAUCUGCAGUGAUCAAGUUUUUUAAGAUUUUGGAGUGAAGUCUUCAAUGUUUGAUGAAUUGCACACGAGUCUCUUUGUUUUGAUGUUUUUCGUGAUCUUUUUGUCUGUUUACCAGAUGACAAUUUUCAACAAUUUUCACAUGAAGCUCGGGCCGUCAAGUUUUGGAUUAUAUUCAGGUCAAACCGGCUGCAGUUACAUUUUUUGGAUGAGUUUUGUUCUUGAUUUGGGUGUUUUUUAGACUUUUGUAGGAAAGUUCUCUAAAAAUGAAAUACUGCCCCUGGUAAGUUUAAGAACUGUGCUCCAACUCUGACUUUACCUAGCUGUAAAUAUUGUUCACGGUGUUUGUGAAUACAUUUUUGUGAGCUGACCCUUUAAUCAUCCACUCACAGGACAUUAACAGAAAACUUCCAUCUGCAGUGUCCCCUUAGCCCUGCUGCCCCAAACACUGCUCACCUGGUUUAACUUUUGGUUUAUUCGUCCAGGUUUUUCGUUCUUUUUCAAAGAGUAAAACUUCUGUUAGAGUUCGUUUUAGAACAGCAGUUUGUUUGUUUGAGUGUGAUCUUUGGAAAUUUAAAGGCUUUUAUUGUGGUGGGACAGAUUUGAGGCCCUAAAUGAACAGCCUCCUCUUUGUGUAGGUCUAUUUUACUACCAGCAUGGACCAGAUUCACUGUACCAUAAGAGUUUUUAGUCUGAACUGAGAGUUGAACAACCAUAACGCUGAUUUUGCACGACUUCGCCACUUUUCAUACAAAUGCAAACGACACUGCAGCUUUUUUUUUCUUUUUGGAAAUAAUUCACAAACUCCAUUUAUUUACUUUAAUUUUCAUGGACCUACAUCAAAUUCAGUUAAGCAAUAGCUAGAGAUAUGAUUGGCUUUUGAGCAGAUGGCCAAUCAGAGCCCUGUUUGCCUCCGCUCACUUUAAGUAUAUUUGUAAAAGAAAAAAAAGUCUACUUGACCUUUAAAUUAAAAAAAACCCAUAGAUAUUAAAAGUGGGUACAAAUAUGCAAAAGAAAAAAAGUAUUUAAAGUGUGAAAAAGUUUUUCCCAUUUUUUCAGAUCUUUAUUUUCACAUUGGGCAAAAAAAAUCUGUUUUUCCCCAAUAUAGCUUUUAUUUUUUUCGCAUCGUAAUGCAUAAUUUAAAGGCAUGUUUUGCGAAUGAAGUAUUCACUUUUUUAAACUGACAACAACAUAGCUCUCUUUUUAAACCACAUAAACAUGAAUUCAAACCAACGGCUGCCUGCAAAAUAGAAACAAAUAAAAGACAUGCAUGCAUUAUAACAAAAUAUGUAGCGAUGUAUAUAUAGAGGUAGUUUAUGAGUAGAAAAGAGGCUAACUGUGCAGAAACAGCGGUAUGGUCCUUUAAGUUGAUGCCACUGGUGAAAUGAAGGUGGGCUGUGUUGUGUCUGGCCCACCUCUCGACGAUAACAAUAUGUGUAAAUUAUUUCAUGUCCAAGAGGUAAAAAUAUUUAUUUUAAAUUAUUUUAUUUAUACAGUUUAAAUGAUUUUUUCUUUCGUAUCUUUAGAGUUUUUAUUUAUUGAAUGUGUCUGUUUUAAAAGUGCAGCUGAAUAUUUCUCGUGACUUUUACUGCACAGACUGUUUUAUUGUGACGUCUUUCGCUCUCACUGUGAACAGAGCUCAGAGUGGCGCCAGCGUCCUCGAAGCUUCACAACAUCAAGACACACUGUGGACUGAUGUCAAAACUCUUGGUUGGGACUUGAACUGAGCCGUUUUGAGUUAGUUUUGACAUUUUUACCAAAUAAUCCAGAGCGCUGAGUCGUCAAACUCUUACGGUUUUCAGAAGCGAGUACGCUUGCAGUAAAGUUUGCUGUACUGAGGAUAUUUCUACUCCUUCUCUGCUCCAUAAUCUUAUUUCAGAGGGUGAACUUGAUAACUAGCUGUAGCAUGAACCUGACCAAACUUUUCUGUCAGAGGCUCUGGACUGUUUUGGUUCCAAACAGGGUUAAAGCGAAGUUUUUAAAAGUACUAAAGUCACAGAUUUGAGCCCCUCCGUUUAUCUGUUAAUCUGUUCAGUUUUGUCUGUUAACCUUUAAACUUGCAGUAAGAGCAGGGUUAAGAAUUGACACUUGAAUACUAAAAACACUUACAGCACAAUAACUUUAAUGGAUGACAAACAUUCCUCUGCAUGUCCUCGCUCCGGUGACUUUAACCCUGUCUUAUCCCACAGCUGUUCUUCCCUGUGACCGGAUAGAGCACCUCAAAAAUUAAUAAUAAAAAAAAAAAAAACAGGGAUUCAUUCAUAUUCACCUGAUACAAUGUAAAGUACAUUUUACUGUGUAUGUAAAUUAUUCUGAAUCGUUCAGAUGAGGACUUGUAGGACGUUUGAAGUGGGAAAGAUUAAGAGAUUACGACGAAGACAACGACAGUAGCAGCUCACGUUAAAGCUGCUAGCAUGUAAUCUACCUACGUUUGUUUUCCUAUGAAUGCAGUGACACUGAAACAAUCAAAGGUGAACUAUUUUGCAGAUGAUAUAGUGAUUUAUUUGAGGAUAUAAUAAGAACAACUGUUGUAUAAGCUAGCACUGAUUUGAAAACACUUUAAAACUUGUGAGUUAUACAAGACUUUUUUUGUUGAAUCUAAAAAAGGGAAGAACUCCAAAGAUUUCUGAACUAUGAGAUUUACAAGCGGGCAAACGAGCCGCCUGAUCUGGGUCACCCUGAAAGCUGCAGGUUCACAGCUGGUUUGUGGUAAAAUGUUUAUUUAUUAAAAGGUGAUUGUAAAGAGGCUCCAAAAAGAGUACGUUAGAGGUUUAUUUUCUUAUCUGAGGGGAAUCCCGGUGUCAAAGUCUUGUUUGAGUAUUUUCAUGAUUUGGUUCACAGUCUUGUUUUGAACUUGUUAAAAAUGGCAGUUUUCUUAGUUCAGGAUAUAAAGAUCUGCUUAGCUUAUUAUUGAAGUCAGGUGACGCAUAGCAAAGAAUGUGACACUUGUUCGCAUUUAUAAACCUUCAUGGAGACGAGUCAACCAGAAAUCCAUUCAUUCCCAUGUGCGUCCUUUUAUAUGUUGAGAAGAAGGUGUUGUUCAAAAUUCUGCUGUUUUUAUCCAUCCAUAAAGAAAUUCACUUCACUGCGCGGGACACUAGAGGUCUUGUUCCUGCAGACACUGAGCUCGUGUAGAUUGUCAUGUUUAAAGUCAUUGUCUGAGCUGCCAUUUUUCUCAGGUUGUAAAUAAGAUUGUGUUGUUAUUUUAUUUCUGUGCUACCAUGUUGCAUGUUGCAAAUUUUUUUUUUACUUUGUCAAAUGACCUCACAGCAAACAUGCACUUUUCCAGCAUGCACAGUGCACAGAGAUUGCUAGCACUUGUGGGGGCCUUAUGGGGGCCCAUCUGGUUAUUUUGCCCCCGGGGCCCCGCACCAGUUGAAUCCGGCCAUGGAGAAAAUCUGUGAAAACCAUUUUAUCCAGCAGGACCAUCCAGCUGAGGGAAAACCUGCGUAUUAAAUGCAAAUAUGAAGUGGACGUAGCCUUACCCUGGAAUUGAAGGAACUUAGACCUGCCUGCUGGUUCAUUUAGGUCUCAUGUAGCAAUUGGUCUUAUACUGGUUUCCAGUGAAGCCACUGGCUGGCUGUGGGACCACCAGUCUGAGUACUGGGGAAAUGUGAAAACAAAUGUUCUUCUUAUUCAUGAUGUAUUUAUUGUAAACAUUGUAUUUAUUAAUAUUGUUGUUGUUGUUGUUGUUUAUGUAUCAUUUUAUUGUAGGCGUGCACCUGAGGGUGUGGUUUGGUGAAAACGGGCUUCCAGCUGUGAGACGCAGCUUUUAUUGGGUUAAUUCACCCAGAAACACUGUGUUCAGUUCCCUGAUUGCUGUUCGUGUUAUAUUUUACUGUAAAUACUCUGUACAUGAAGAGAUAAAUCGCUGAGAGAGAUGUUGAAAUAGAUCUAUUUAUAAGGAAAGACAAAACAUUAUUCAAGUUCCUGCAACACUUUAAAUCAAGGAGCACAUUGACCAUCACCUACAGGCUGUAUACUGCGCAAACUGGCCCUUUAAUGGACAUUAUAAAGCACUAACUGAUGCCUUAGUCUACCUCUUUAUUACUGCUUACUCUCAAAGAAAUCUGUCGUCUAGGAAUUAUGACUUCAUUAUCAGAUUCCCAUCAUAGCCAUAAUUCCGCAUUUUGACCAUUGCUACCUUGUCUAUUACAGUCUGUAAUUGGCCGGUUGGAUACAGCAUGAUGUGCUUGGACCUAACUGCAUUAUCUACAUUUGUUUGACUGACUAUGAUAGGUUCGAUUUUGUGCAAUUUUAGUCAAUCUAACAUAUUUAAAUACACUCGAAAAGUCAGAUUAAUGCAAUAAAUAUAUAUUUUUAGCGUCAUGUAAACACACUGGCCAUUAACCAAACAGUUUCACAUGUUUCGCCUUGUAGCAUUUUUUCCGCUGCAGUGGUGUCGCCCCCUGUGGCCAUUAGAAAAACUGCAGGGGCUUCUGUUUUGGCUUCCCUUUUGGAGCCUAAGGGCUACAUGUAACUCCUUUCUUUUUGAAAUGAGAGUAGGAAUUUGUUGGAGAGUUACGGUCUUUAAUAUACUCGAUUUGGAAUCAAUGGACUCGGAAAACAACUGUUUAUAAAAAAAGUGGGCAUGGCCGAACUUUUGCAUUUCGCUGCACAUCCACAAAUACACAGUGGACUGCUUCAACAGGCCGCCAUGGUUGCAAGCAACUAAUUAUGUUGCCAACAAAAAGAGGGGUAGACCUUGCUUUGCCGUUUUCUACUCAGAUGGAGUCACCCCCUGCUGGUCGUAAGAAAAACUGCAGAUUUUCGCUACUUGUGCUUUUACUUUACUUUUAAAACCAAAGUCAUUCGCAGUAAUAAGGAGGAUAAUGAGGGAUAACUCUUGUUUGAUGGCCUCGUAGACCCAGAAUCUUGCAGAAUAAAGAAUAAAUGUAUUUUAUAAUGUUUUUGAAAGGCCAGUCUGCUACUAAUUAUUCAUGCUUGUAGAAAAUGGUGACUGUGUGCUCUUUAAUACUAGUGUUUGCAAAGUUUUUUUUUUUCCAUGUUUUGCUAGGAAGGCAUUAAAUAGCAAUAAACAUUGCACAGACUUGACCUCAAAUAAUAAUUUAUUAUCUUCUGUAGUGUUUUUGUAUUUUUUUUCUUUUGUCAUAAGAAGUGAUAACCAAAGCUUUAUUUCUCUUUCCCAUCAACUCCCCUUCCUGUCCGUCCUCUUUAUCUGAUCUCUUCCUACACUCCUUUCUAACUUCUCUCCCUUUUUCCUUAUUAAUUCUCUACCCCACUGAUAUCGCCACCCCUCCUCCUCCUUCUCCUCUGCUCCAAACAAGUUUUGAGAUUCCUGUAGCUCUGGCUGUUUAAGUCCUUUUUAUUGUUCAGACCUCUUCUACCAUGGGACCGGAGCAGGGGAGCUGGGCUUAUCAGCAACUCCCGCUGUGUUGUUUUUUUUAGCCGGCAGUGGUGUGAUGAUUAGACCUGAGAGAAGGUUAAAUAUUUUCUGCUGGCCAGUGACUUUCCACACAGUGUAUCAUUCACAUGUGGCUAGUUUUAGAUUUGGUACAUGUGCAGAAAAGAGGGUAAGGAUUCAGGUUUGUCCUGUCAUGUUUCUGCAUCUGAAAUUGCCCUUUUCAGAUGCAGUAAAUCAGGCGAUACCUCCAAAAAUUUUCAGAGUUGCAGUGCAGUGCAGAUUUCAGACAAUUCAAAGACCUUGAAAACAUAAAUAUUUAUAGGCAGGCAUUGCAGGAAUACUUCAAGUCCAGGAAGUUGUGUCUUGGGUUCUUAAACUCUUACACACUGAAAUAGUUAAUUCCUCUUUCCAUUCCCCAGAGUAAAUGUACAGAAGAUGAAAAAUGCCUGUUAUUUUUCUUUUAUUUCAAUAGCAGAUCAGAUAUGAGGGAGCACUUCCAAAAUGGGUUGUGUUACUUGAAGCAAUGUGUACAUACUGUUUUAUAACUACUGUAAGGCAUUUGAAGAAAUCCAAGAGGUUAAUAAAACCCGAGAUAUAUUUCUCUACAGAAAAUCAG
rnacentral:lncRNA from 1 species